AAAUACUAAAAUUGUCUGGAGAA
rnacentral:snRNA from 1 species